rnacentral:rRNA from 1 species
GACGAACGCUGGCGGCGUGCUUAACACAUGCAAGUCGAACGAAGUGGCGAACGGGUGAGUAACGCGUAAUCAACCUGCCCUUCAGAGGGGGACAACAGUUGGAAACGACUGCUAAUACCGCAUACUGAAGUAGGGGAUUGUGUCGGAUUAGCUAGUUGGCGGGGUAACGGCCCACCAAGGCGAUGAUCAGUAGCCGGGCUGAGAGGAGGAACGGCAACAGUGGGACUGAGACACGGCCCAGACUGCUACGGGAGGCAGCAGUGGGGAAUCUUCCGGAAUGGACGAAAGUCGGACGGAGCAACGCCGCGUGAGGGAUGACGGCCGUCGGGGUGUAAAGCUCUGUUAAUCGGGACGCGGUACCGGAAUAGAAAGCCACGGCUAACUACGUGCCAGCAGCCGCGGUAAUUC